rnacentral:rRNA from 1 species
UACGUAGGGUGCAAGCGUUAAUCGGAAUUACUGGGCGUAAAGCGUGCGCAGGCGGUUCGUUGUGUCGGCGGUGAAAGCCCCGGGCUUAACCUGGGAAUGGCCGUUGAAACUGGCGAACUGGAGUGUGGCAGAGGGGGGUGGAAUUCCGCGUGUAGCAGUGAAAUGCGUAGAGAUGCGGAGGAACACCGAUGGCGGAAGGCAGCCCCCUGGGCUAACACUGACGCUCAGGCACGAAAGCGUGGGGAGCAAACAG